rnacentral:rRNA from 1 species
CAGUCGCCGCGGGAAUACGGAGGGUGCAAGCGUUAAUCGGAAUUACUGGGCGUAAAGCGCACGCAGGCGGUUUGUUAAGUCAGAUGUAAAAUCCCCGAGCUUAACUCGGGAACUGCAUUUGAAACUGGCAAGCUAGAGUCUUGUAGAGGGGGGUAGAAUUCCAGGUGUAGCGGUGAAAUGCGUAGAGAUCUGGAGGAAUACCGGUGGCGAAGGCAGCCCCCUGGACAAAGACUGACGCUCAGGUGCGAAAGCGUGGGGAGCAAACAGGAUUAGAUACCCGCGUAGUCCCUGUCUCUUAUAC